rfam:Streptomyces pratensis ATCC 33331, complete genome.
CCGGGCGGAACGCCGAAUCCUGCCGCCGCCCGAUUACCCGACCACUUCUCGUACGGCAGGAGCGGGGGACCCAAGUAAGUGCCGAUCCGGUUUCCGGAGCGGCUCGGGGUGAAGUCGCAUUUGUGUGCGACCGGGCAUCUCCAGCCCGAACCCGACAGCUCACUUCGCAGGCGACGGAGAGGAAUU